UGCAGAGACUGCAUCAUACACUGUGACAUAAAGCCAGAGAACAUUCUGUUAGACGCUGAAUUUUGUCCCAAAGUGUCGGAUUUUGGGCUGGCAAAGCUUGUUGGGAGGGAGUUCAGCCGUGUCCUAACAACCAUGAGAGGAACAAGAGGUUACCUUGCACCUGAAUGGAUUUCAGGAGUGGCCAUAACAGCCAAAGCGGAUGUCUACAGCUAUGGAAUGAUGCUGUAUGAAUUUGUAUCAGGAAGGAGGAACUCCCAGGAAUCUGAAGAUGGUAAAGUGAAGUUCUUCCCAUCUUGGGCUGCUAAACAAAUAGUUGAAGGCAGCAAUCUCAUUAGCCUAUUAGACCCAAGACUGGAGGGCAACGCUGACGAAGUAGAGCUUGCAAGACUUUGCAAAGUGGCUUGUUGGUGCAUCCAAGAUGAUGAGACUCACAGGCCAUCAAUGGGUCAAGUAGUUCAAAUUCUUGAGGGAGUUUUGGACGUGACACUGCCUCCAAUUCCCAGAGCUCUCCAAGUAAUGGUCGAUGACCAUGAGCACGUAGUCUUCUUCACUGAAUCAUCCACAUCUCAGAGUUCCCUGUCAAAGAGCAACAAUUCAACUGCUUCAUCUCAAGCAAAGAGUACCACAUCAUCAAGAAGUUCUUAAAUCGAUGUGAAGAAAAUAUUUUAACAUUUGUGUUUAAGAAUAUAUAUUUGGUUUAUUUCACUUGUAACAACCUGUAUGCAUAUUUGGAUAGAAGCCUUGCUUCGUAGUGUGUAUAAUAAUAAUGGAACCUGCCAAAGCAAUUUUAAGAAUUACAAGCCUUGUGCCUCGCUGUUCUCUCUAAUGAACUCUGAUUGAUCUAUGCUCCUCUGCAUUGACUAUUGGCUUCACCUAAUCGCUUCAAUUGGCAAAAUUAGGUAUUGAAAUAAAAGUGACUUGGAACUUGGAUGUUAUCCCGAAGAAGGGGAAAAACAGAAAAACAAUCAAACAAAUAAACAUAAACGUGACGUUGUAACAAAUAAUGUUUGGUAGUAUAUGAUAUGCAUACAUAAAUCGAAAACCAUAAAAUGUAAAAUAACUAGGUUAAGUGUGGUUAACUAAUCGAGACUUAAGUCUUAAUUUCUCUUAUAAAAACUUAAGUGUUGUAUCUAAGUCCGUCGUCAAUUUAAUACUUUUAAUAUAAGUUAUUAUUUAGAAAAGAAGGUGUGUUCAAUGAAUGACUUAUUUAUGAGUGCUAAUUAGAUUAAAAUUUAGAAUUUAGGAUAAAUUUACAGAAUCAUAAAUUAAUUUAUAAUAUUAUGAAAAUUAAUUUAUGACAUCAUAAAUUUGUCCCAAAUUUUGAAUUCAAACUUUAAUUUCAGAUUGAAAAAUUUUUCUCUAUCCAUAAAGUGUUUGGUUAAGGGGAAAAAAAUCAAAAGAAAAAAAAUCUAGGUGGGUGGUAUGACGUGGGGUUUACGUUUAAUGCGUAAAACAUGAUUUUAAUGUUUAUUUCUCACGAGGCAACAUUGAGAAUAUCGGAGUUGAGUUUAACACAAUUAAUCCUUAGCAAAUAUAUUAAAGCGAUUACACUUCCUGUCUCUCGUCUCAUGCAUGUUACUGCUGAUUGCCUUUGAUAUUUUAAACCAAUUUUGAUUCACCAAAUAAUCAAUCGAUUAAUUUAUUUGCUCUAAAUUCUCAUAACUUAUCCACUACAGAUUUCCAAUGCGGACUCAAGUAUGAAGUUUUUCUAGCCUCAUAUUUGCAUUCGUAAUUAUCACGUCACAUGUACAAGAGAAUGAUUUGAUAUACAAUUGAACAGAUAUUAAUGAAUCUAGAGUAGUUUCAAAUUAGUCAUCGACAUAAUUGAUGCUAAAAUAAUUUCUAAGAGACAAAUUUUAAUCUCAAAUCCCCCAAAAAAAAGAGUAGAUAAUUAAAAAAAAAAAAGCACAAACAAUUGCAAAAAGCUAUUUUUUAUAGUUUCACUUCAGUUCACAGCCUCCUCAUAUCGAGAAACAGCUUCUGAUCAAGCUCAAACUCUUGAAACAUAUUAUUUGUUACAUAUUUUUCAUGAACCAACUGGCCAACAUUGUUGAACUGUCGAUAUUUUUAUUGACUUCAAUUGACUAACAAGUUUCCUUCUUUUCUUGAAGGAUGGCUUUGACGGCGUUUCUUGAAGGAUGACUUGGACCUCUCGUUGAUUCGCGUCCUCGAUAUUGGUUCGUGACAUUCGAUCUCCCUGAUCUCGCCGCCUUCCGGAGAGAAGACGUUUGUCAAAGUUAUCGCAAUCGACGCUUGCCAUUGUCCUGGUAAGUCAUGGUUAAGCUAACAGUAACAAUAACGGCAUUGAUAACUGUUAGAACACUAAUAGUUUAUUUUAUUACUUGUUUUAAUUCAUUUCUUCUUAGCAUUAGGUUUUUUUUUUCAAUUAUAAAUUAAUGUUUUUAUUAAAUUAUAGUUAGGACUGUCUUAAACGAUUAUAAAUAAAUAGUUUUUAUUAUAUUUUUGAGGAAAUAAUAAUAAAAUUAAUUCUAAUUUCUGUUAAUUCUUUUCUCUUCCCUCUGAAUUCUUAAAUUCAUUAUUUAUUUCUCUUUUAACUCUCUAAUCAAAACCUUAGAAUCCUACCAUCUGGUAUUAGAGCACAUCCUUCCUGCCACAAUUUUUAUUUUUCCAUUCACUAUUUUUUUUUAAAAGUCAUCAACCAAACUUUUGCCAAUAUCUCUUGGCUUUUGACUGGAGACUUAAACCGGACCCACCCUCUAAACUUUUUCCAAUAUCUAAACUUUUUCAACCGAACUUGAAUUUUCUUGAGAGUUUUUUUGAGGCAUCAUGAUUGGUAAGGAGCUUGAAGGCAAAGUUCAACAGUUUCAUGACAAAGUUACAACCAUCGAUGAAAAGGUUACGACCUUAGCCAAGCAAAAUAACGAUCUGCAGGAACUCAUGAACGACAUCCUUCAGCAAUUGAGCCAGUUGCGAAAAGGAAAACAACCGACUACUGAUCAAAGACAAGUUGAUAUAUUUACUGGAGGGACCUCUGCUCCUCAAAUGGUAAUUGCUAUCCAACCACCUCUUGAACCUGCCGAACGCAUUGGAAGUACUCUCAUGCAAGCUCGUAACAUAUGACUUGACUUUCCUAUUUUUCACGGUGACAAUCGAACGGGAUGGAUUUUUCGAUAUGAGCAAUAUCGUUGCCUUACUGGAUUAUCAAAUGUUGACUUAUUGUGCUUAGCUAUUGGCCAUCUUGAUGGUGAUACUGUACCUUGGUUUCAUUGGAUAGAGCAAACUAUGGGCGAAAUGACUUGGGCGCAAUUUAAAUGGGCUUUCACUACUCAAUUUGGGACAUUAGAAGAGAAUGAUGCAGUUGGCAGUCUUACCAAAUUACAUCAAAUAGGGACAGUUCUUGACUAUCAACGACAAUUUCAAAAGUUGACCGAUCAGACUAGCAAUUUAACUGAGUCUUUCUUCAUCAGUUGUUUCCUUUAUGGGUUACAUGAAGAUAUCAAGGCUGGCGUACAACUGUUCAAACCUGUUAGUCUCGUACAAACUUUUGAACUUGCUAGGUUUAGUAAAAGACAAUUACUUUGCAAGGCAACUGUUCCCCCGUUCCCGCCAUCCAAGAUCUAGUCCCACAAUUACAGUUGACUCCUACUCCACCAGCAGCAGACAGAAAGACGUUCUAAAGGGCUUUGUUUCAACUGUGACGAGCAAUUUAAGCCUGGGCAUUGUUGCAAACAAUCUCAACUAAUGCUUUUAGACGUUGAUAUAACUCUUCACAACCCUCCAAAACCGCCUGACCAUCAUUCAGAUUGGAAGAUCUCGAUUAUUGAGACUAGGUAAAAGGCUUGCAGACAAGCCUGUUUUAAUGGGCAGGGAAUGUUAGGACCCUAAUAAUUUAUUUUAUUGCUUGUUUUAAUUUUUUUCCUAUUAAUAUUAGGUUUUCUUAUUUCAAUUAUGAAUUAAUGCUCUUAUUAAAUUAUAAUUAGGACCGUCUUGAACUACUAUAAAUAAGUGGUUCUUAUUAUAGUUUUGAGGGAGCAACAAUAAAAUUAAUUCUAAUCUCAUUUAAUUCUUCUCUCUUCCCUCCGAAUUCUUAAAUUCUUCAUCUAUUUCUCCCCUAAUUCUCUGACCAAAACCUCAUAAUCCUACUAGUAACGGACUGCAUUACGUUCGAGAAGACAAUUUACACACACACAAGAUAAUAAAGGCAUUUAAAUCACCCAAUUAAGUUGUAUAGCGAUAAAUAAUUAAAUUACAAAAAGCUCGACAUAUACUGAAAAAUAAAAAAGAAAUUCAACAAAGUCAUAAAUUUAUUGACAUCUGAAUUCUGAAAAUAUGGUGUGUGUCUUCAGUUGGGAAAGUUAUAAUUUGCAUACGGUUAUUUUUAUUGAUAUUUAAUACCUCUAUUUUAUGUUCAAUUGGAAGGAAUUCUAGGCAGUUCAAUUUUCUACUUACGGUAUUAUCACGAUCGUUGUUAUUGAGAAAAUUUUGGCAAUUUUUUUGAUUGAUCAUGAUGAUUUUAGUACGUGGCAGGCUCGGUGAUGUUGUUAUUUCGCGGAGCAUUUGGAUGCUUGCUCUAUACUGGUGAUUUUCGCUGGGAAGCAAGUAAUAAGAGGGCUGAGAUAGGAAGGAACACGCUCGUCAAAGCUUUAAAAGAUGAUGUAGUCGACAUUCUUUAUUUGGAUAACACAUAUUGCAGUCCAUCAUAUGCUUUUGCUUCAGGAGAAGUUGCAGCUCAGCAGGUACACUUUUUAUAUUUUUCCUUUCUUGUUUGAGAACUUUCAGUUUCACUCCAGAAUUAUCUACUGAAUUAAAGAUUAAAAUGGGAGAUGAAAGAAAUAGUCCAGGUACUGAUUUGUAGUGUUAGUUAUCUGGAUGAAAACAGAUUGUUGACAUAAUUGCCUCCCAUCCAGAUCAUGACAUCAUCAUUGGGAUUGACUCACUUGGAAAAGAAAAACUUUUAUUUCACAUAUCGCAUAAGCUCAAUAUAAAGGUUUGCUCACCCUUUUAAUAUCGGAAAACCUUUUCUUACAUAACGAUCAUCACGAUGGUCUCUCCAAGGGGGAUGAAAUCGAUAGCAUAUAUACAGCAAAUUGACAUGUUAUCUAAUUUUUGGAUCACUUGUAGAUGAUUUAGGAGUAUCUUGAUAGUUUUUAUUCUUCUAACAUCUAACAUAUGUUUUACAUUUUAGAAACUGGGCGGGUUAGAUUGUCCUUUGGUGGAUUUAAUUGUGGCCAAAUUCAUACAUGAAAUGUAUUGUCACACAUGUAUUAUUGGAUGCAUCCAAUUGUAUGUUCUUCCUCUUCAUGUGCCAUGAGAACUUAAAACUGCCCUCUUCAUCUCUUGCAAAUUGUUGUUUAGUCACAAGCAAGUGGAAUAAAAAUUUUUGCAUUUAUUUCCAAAGCAGAUAUUUACUCUGUAUUUCUUGUUUCACAUUUUUUUUAUAGAUUUGGGUGUGGCCAGAACGCCUGCAAACCAUGCAUCUGCUUGGCUUCCAUGACAUAUUCACAACCAAAACUUCUCUUACUAGAGUGCGAGUUGUUCCACGGUAUAGUUUUAGCAUUGAUACUUUAGAGAGUUUAAAUACAAUGCACCCAACGAUUGGAAUUAUGCCAUCUGGUCUUCCUUGGGUGGUUAAGUCUCUUAAAGGAGGUAGUAGUCUUCCUGGUUUUCUUUUUCCUUCUUACCAAAGCAAAUGGAGAGCAACGGGUGGAACUCACACUGAGAAACUGAAAGAAGCUUUAGGCGGGCCCGACGAGGUGCGAAGCUUGCUCGAAGUGAGAGUUCUGAUUGAUUAGGGUCAAAUAUCGAUAUCAGUUAAGCUUGAAAUUCUUGCAAGUAAUGUUACUUGUAUCGGUUUGAAUUCAGAGUCUAUUGUAUGGUUGAAGAAUACAUAUGAUGGUGUAGGGUGUAAGUAAUAUAAUCCUUUUAUUUAUUUAUUUAUCUUGGAUGUCUAAAGCGACGGCCUAUUAGUGCUCAUUAAGGAAAAUGGUUGUGUGAAAGCACUUCGUCUGGAUCAGUCAUUUGACUGUUUACGCCUGGAUCAGUCAUUUGAUUGUUUACGCGGGAUAGGUAUAGUGGCUUUUUGGUUUAGAUUAUUAUAGUUGUUUUCAAACUCGUGGCCUUUAAACACAUUAUAGUUUGACAAUCAUGGUCUUUACUUGAUUUGCAAUAAGGUAAAGAAGUCAAAUGGGUAAUUAUUUUCUGUGAGAGUGAAUUGCGGCAAACAUGAGCAAUUUUUGCAUCAUUGUGCAUUUUGUUGUAGAAUGAGGAGAGUCAACUUUCCUGACCAUCUAGAUGAACCCUUAGUUGAAUCUCUCCAUGGCCAUAAGUGGGCGGCAUAGACCAAAUCCUGAAACUAGUCAUGGUCUAAUAUGCAAACCACUCUGACUAUGGCCAAGACACUGGAAAAUGGUGAAUGUUAACUUAGUUUUGAAAGUUAUCAAAUUUAAUAAAACAAAUCAAAUUUAUAAAGUUUUAAAAGUUAUCAAAAUUUAAUAAAACAAAUCAAAUUUAUAAAGUUUUAAAAGUUAUCAAAAUUUAAUAAAACAAAUCAAAUUUAUAAAGUUUUAAAAGUUAUCAAAAUUUAAUAAAACAAAUCAAAUUUAUAAAGUUUUAAAAGUUAUCAAAAUUUAAUAAAACAAAUCAAAUUUAUAAAGUUUUAAAAGUUAUCAAAAUUUAAUAAAACAAAUCAAAUUUAUAAAGUUUUGAAAGUUAUCAAAAUUUAAUAAAAAAAAUCAAAUUUAUAAUUAGGGGUCCAGCUACGGUGCCCCUUUGGGCACGGUGUCCCCUUCUUUUGUCAUUAUCCAGGCUAGCCGUUAGAUUAUAAUGACUUUAAUCCAACGUUUCGGAUUUUGAAACUGUACAAUGAUGUGAAGUGGGCAACUGUCCAAUCCCGAUAUACUAAUACUAUUGUAGCUCUAAAUAAGAAGUAAUAAGAUUAUUAACACUAUAAGGUUAAUGGAAGGAAAAUCUAUCUAAGCCUGAAAUGAUACAAACUACAUAUGUUCGAAUUUAUGGUAGCUGAAAAAUCUUUCAUGAUUUGUUCUACUCCUUGAUCACAUAAGUGGGUUGAAUUAAUUUAUAUAUUUGAAAUUAGGUGGUUGAAUAACGAUGGCAUGACCAUAUGGAUUCAAUUUCUUGAUGGACCAAUAACCUUGUUUCGACUGAAAUCAAUACGUGCAAGUAGUCAAUUUGACAGUUGACAUAAACUGUGCUUUUGAAUUGCAAUGGAACAUAAAUGAACAAGCUUUCAUCUAGCUUUACAGAGUGUGAACUAAAUGGUGUAGCAAAUAUAAAUGAAAGAAGAAGGAGCCCGAGGGGUGGAGGCGUUAAGAACUUAAAUAGCAGGUUUUAUUCUGUCGAAAUACUACAAGCACAUUUGUAAUAUUCAAAAGAUGCUGCAACUGUAGUUCUUAGUAUUUCGAGUCAGAAAACUAAGCUUCAAUAUCAUGACAUAACAAAAUAUACAAUAAAAAUUGCACGGACAUAAUAAUUGUCAUAUUUCCAUAACAACGUUACCAAGUCCGUAAAAGCUAGGAAUAACAAAACACAUAAAAAUAGUUUCAUAUUAGAGAAUAUCUGAAUUUACAGAGCAUAGAUUAUGUCUAAAUUUCCUGGUUGGUUGAGUUUCUUCGAUGAUCUUGUUCGAAAGCUAAUACCAUUCGUUUCUAAAAUGUACCUCACAGUAUCAAUCAUCUCAAUUAAACUGCCACAAAGUUUCCUCUUUAGCCUACCACAGUUGUAGCAAACUACCAAAACCCAUUUGACAAGCAGCCACUCUUUGUUCAUCUAUCAGCUACGAAACUGCUGCCGCUAAUCUAUCUGGGGCGAAUCUAGUCAAGAACUUUGCCUUUGCCACUUCUGACUUCACUAUUUGUUCGCAUUCAAUUUGUAUUAACAUUUUCUCUCCGGUGGUAAAUCCUUAAACGUGGAUCCAAUUUCCAUCUAGUACACAAUCAUGGCAGAUAAACUAACUACAUCUCCACUAAUUGAAAAUACAAAUUUAUUUUAUCUUUAUAGUGCAACUUUACAUACCUCUUCUGUAAUGCAAGUCAUUCCAUCGCUUGCCUUAACCUCAUGCACGGCUUCACUGCUGCAAUAUCAUCAUAUGACUGCAAAAUUAUACAUCUCUAUAAUUUUUAAUGAACUAAGCUUACAAAUAUCUUAUGAACCCAUUAUGGCAUUUCCUUUUUCUUCUUCCUUCAAUACUUUGAUCGUCACCAACCUCUUUAACACCGCCAUCAAUCUCACACGAUUUAUGCUUAUUACUUCCCACCAACUUAAUUUAUGAAAUUCAGUGAUACAUUUAUUUAUUAUAAUCAAACUAAAGUUCAUAGCAACAUAAAGUUUACAUUCCUAGUCCAGCACAAAACAAACAAAAAAAUUGGGGAAAAAAAUAAACAAAGGAGAUCUGGAACGAAGGUAAAGCAUGUAUCAUUUUCCUGUUCCUAAUUUUAAAAAUGUUCAUUGUAAAACUUAAUAACACCCAAGCUAACUGGAACUAAUUGUUACGGAUUCAAAUAUCAUUUUAAUACAUGGAAUUACUAAGAUGAAUAUUAUGACAAAAAAAUCCUUUACAUUAUUACAUUGUUGAGAAAAUAUCCAUAACUUUAUUUUAAAAUAUUUGUGCACCCCAAUUUUGCCAUUAUCCUUAUGAGAUCUAGCUUCCCACCAACCAUAUUAUGAACAACAAAUGAUUCACAUCACAAAUCUCAUAUUAAAAUUACACUUACCUUAAAUUUGGUAUAUGCAAUCCUUUCUGUUUCAUUCAAUACUGCUAUAACAAACUACAAGUCACUGCACUCCACUUCAAAAAUUUGACACGACAUCAUUGCUCCAAUUACAGUUAUACAGAAUUAAGAAAAUAUUCCUGCUUUAAAAAUUUCGCCAAUGUCUGUUGAAAUACAACCAAGGGUAUGUAGAGGGUCCAGCUACAAUAUCCAUGGGGUUUGGUACCCCAUUUUUUGUUUUUUUCAAACCUACCGUUAGAUUUAACGUAAGUGCAUAAUGGCUGAGAUGUGAUUAUUGAGUUAUUAACAUCAAAGACCCUUAUUGUUCAUGUAAAAUAAAAAAAAAUCAAAAGUUUUGAAAUUAUGACAUAUAAGUCAAUAAUAUUCUCUUUUUUUUUUAACUCUAUUGAAAUAUGUUUCCAAUUAAAUGACUUAUUCUUAUAUUUAUUAGUAUCUAUUUAAAUUAAUAAAUUUAUUAAUUAAUAAAUUAACUACUUUAUUAUAUAAUUAAACUAUGUAUAUUAUUUAUUAAGGGUUAUUUUUAGAGACCUCCCCUGAGGUUUGGUGUAUUGACAGUCUGAUAGAAAGUAUUCACGUAAUUACAGGGACCUCCCCUGACGGUACUACAUGGUUAACUUGACUGUUAGUGGACUAACGAAAAGCCAAAAAUGCCCUGAGCCUAAAAAAUGCUUUGGCAGUUAACAAUUUCUUUAAUGAUAGUAACUACAGUUUGGCGUUAAACAUCACACUAAAACACUAAAAAGUCUAAACUGACCAUUUAAAACAAAUCAUUGACAUUACAUAAUAUUAAAAAAAGGAGAAAAAUAUAAAUUGACAAAAUCAACAAAGCUAUCAAUGUAGUGAAUAUUUACAGCAACAAUGGUUGUAAAUACAGCCAUUGUCAAGUUAAAAUCACCAUUACAACCAUUGCUUCUUUAACUUUCAUCUCACAAUUUCUUCCUUCAUCAUUCAACAUCUCAAAAGCUCAAUAAUUAGUAAGCUGCUUCAAUAAAACAAUAAACAAACCAUAAUUCACUUUUCAAUGCAUUCAAAAUACACAACGAAUAUUCCUUAGCCAUUUAAAUUGAAGCCAAAGAAGAAAAGAAAAGAAAAAAAAUCUUCCUUUGUUAUUCCAAGUUUCACACCACUAGCCAUAUGAAGAAGGCAGACUAAAGCGUAAGAAAAUGCUACUGCCACAGCAAAAGUCUAGACCAAUUGGGUAAUGAUACCUGCCAUGCCAAUUUCAAGGCAAGCAAAAAUCAAUUAUCAUCCCCAGACCAAAAUACCAGCAAACCUACCUUUUGAAUUUAAAUAAUAAGUAAAUAAAUCAAAGAUUUCAACUCAUUUAAGUUUGAAAUCAAUUAAAAUAGCCAAAAAGAAAAAAAAAAUUCGUCCAACAUAACUUAUCCAGCAAUUUCUUCAACACAUAAUUUCAUUCUUAAUCAUCACAACAAUUAAAAAAGAAAAACAAUGAGCCCAAGUGAUUGAUCUUGCCAUAAUGUACUCCUACCAGCAACCGAAGUCGAGCAUACAUACGACGAUCUUCGUGCGUGAAUAGCCGGGAGGAAAGAAAGGGCGGUAGAUGAUAAUGAAAAAGAUGCGAUCGAGUUUGCUGUAGAAAUUUCUACUCUCCGAUUAGACCCAAAGCUUGUUCAAAAGGGUCUCCUUUUCCUCCGUUGAGAUCAAAUCCCUACCGACGAGCUGCCAACAACUAACAAGGGUCACUACGAAUAGCUAACAACUGCUUUGCUACUACUGGCUCACUCUGAACGAGAUUCCGAUCCCCUGUCUCGUGAGCAAAGCCUUCGAUUCCUUCACGUAGGCCGAGACGGAUUGGUUCAAAAGCUUCUCCAGAGCUUUUCAACCUUGAAAAUGGUUGUGGGUUUCGUUUAAUGAGAGAGAAAAUAGUGUUUUGGUUCUUUGAUUUUUUUUUUAAUUUAUGAAAUCACUAAUUUACCCUCAUAUACUAACAUAUACGAAAACGUGUACUAACGUUAGGGGAAGUCUCUGUAAUUACACAAAUACUUUCUAUCAGAUUGUCAAUACACUAAAACUCAAGGGAGAUCCUUAAAAAUAACUCUAUUUACUAACUAUAAUUAAUAAUAACAAUAAAUAUAAAUAUGAUCUUUUUUUAAUUUAAUAUAACGACAACUAAUUUCUUUUGACGUAUGUGAAUAAAGUUCAAAACCCAUAAUUUUUUUUUCCGCCAGACGGUGACCCUUGUGGGUCUAUCAACAAUUCAAAGAUUGCACAACUUGAUUGUCCGUUUCCAAUCACUCAUUUCUUUCUCUCUGGCCAACCAAACGCGUAAAACUGAUUAACGUUGUUGAUGGAGUUUUAAAUAUGAUCAAAUGGCUGUGAUUGUUUGUAGGCUUGGUCCUAUAAAGCUCAAUCGACCUACAAGCCAAUAAAAAAAAUUAAUUGAAAUUGCUAGCACUAGCCGCAACUGGGCCCCAUUCACAUUACGAGGUUCACCUCCUCUAGAACUUGUACAGGUGGACAUGGUUACAAACUAUUGCUUUUGUAGAAACAAUCCAAGUUGAUGUCUAGGGUGGAUAUUAAAAUCUUGCUGACGUGGCUGAAUCUGUUAUAUUGGUUUAAGAAUUACUACAUGCAUGUGUAACAGCUUAUUAACAAGGAAUUGACACUUGUUAUAUAUGUGUGUAAAAUACAUUGAUUCAAUAAUAAGAAGUUUUCAGUUUAUCAAUAUUUUCUUUCUCUUCCGUUUAACUUUCUCGUUUACCAAAUACAACAUUUGGUUUUCUUUCACAAAGUGUCGGAUUUUGGGCUGGCAAAGCUUGUUGGGAGGGAGUUCAGCCGUGUCCUAACAACCAUGAGAGGAACAAGAGGUUACCUUGCACCUGAAUGGAUAUCAGGAGUGGCCAUAACAGCCAAAGCGGAUGUCUACAGCUGCGGAAUGAUGCUGUUUGAAUUUGUAUCGGGAAGGAGGAACUCUGAGGAAUUUGAAGAUGGUAAAGUGAGGUUCUUCCCAUCUUGGGCUGCUAAACAAAUAGUUGAAGGCAGCAAUCUCAUUAGCCUAUUAGACCCAAGACUGGAGGGCAACGCAUAGGAAGAAGAGCUUGCAAGACUUUGCAAAGUGGCUUGUUGGUGCAUCCAAGAUGAUGAAACUCACAGGCCAUCAAUGGGUCAAGUAGGUCAAAUUCUUGAGGGAGUUUUGGACGUGACACUGCCUCCAAUUCCCAGAGCUCUCCAAGUAAUGGUCGAAUCAAAGAGCAACAAUUCAACUGCUUCAUCUCAAGCAAAGAGCACCACAUUAUCAAGAAGUUCUUAAAUCGAUGUGAAGAAAAUAUUUUAACAUUUGUGUUUAAGAAUAUAUAUUUGGUUUAUUUCACUUGUAACAACCUGUAUGCAUAUUUGGAUAGAAGCCUUGCUUCGUAGUGUGUAUAAUAAUAAUGGAACCUGCCAAAGCAAUUUUAAGAAUUACAAGCCUUGUGCCUCGCUGUUCUCUCUAAUGAACUCUGAUUGAUCUAUGCUCCUCUGCGUUGACUUUUGGCUUCACCUAAUCGCUUCAAUUGUCAAAAUUAGGUAUUGAAAUGAAAGCGAAAUGCCAAAAGCAACUUGGAACUUGGAUGUUAUCCAGAAGAAGGGGAAAAACAGCAGAAACAAUCAAACAUAAACGUGACGUUGUAAUAAAUAACAUCGGUCAAGAUAUGAAUCAACUGGCCAACAUUGUUGAAUUGUCCAUAUUUUGAUUGACUUCAAUUGACUAACAAGUUUCCUACUUUUUUUGAAGGAUGGCUUUGACGGCGAUUCUUGAAGGAUGGCUUUGACGGCUUACGUAGCACAAAUAAUUUAUGUUGGACGUUUAAAUAAUCCAUCAGAAAAAAAUUAUGGAAACCGAACUUCGUCCCUUUGCUUUCUUUAUUCCUAAAUAACAAUUUAGCACUCCUGAACUUCAUUGAACUUCAUCCUCCAUUUUUUUUGCUUUCUUUAUUCCUAAAUAACAAUUUAGCACUCCUGAACUUCAUCCUCCAUUUUUUUUAAUUUCUACUUGUCAUAAACUGAAACCUAAUAAAAUAAUUUUGGUUGAAACCAUCAUAUUUGACAGUAUGAGCACAACGACAGUGAUUACUAACUGUUUCUGCUUAGGCCCGCCAUACCCAACCCUCAAUUUCUCCCUUAAGUCUUGAUAAAUAGACCAUCUGCUGUUCAUAAACAUCAUCUUGUCUGCACAGAAAUUUUCCAGCAGCCAUGGAUGUCAAGAACAAGGUAUGGUUCAUGCUCUGUGUUCUCUCCGUAUGCUUCACUCUCAAACCUCAUUUAUCCUUUGCUGCUCGUGACUCCAUCUCUGCAAACCAAUCUCUCUCUGGGGAUCAAACUAUUGUCUCUGCUGGUGGGGUCUUUGAACUAGGCUUCUUCAAGCCAGGUAACUCUUCAAACUACUACAUAGGCAUUUGGUUCAAAAAGUUGUCAGAACAAACCAUAGUUUGGGUGGCAAAUAGAGACAAACCAGUUUCCGAUAAAAACUCCUCAGUGUUAAGAAUAUCCGAUGGUAAUUUAGUUCUUUUAAAUGAGUCUAAAACGCCCAUCUGGUCCACAAGUUUGAACUCUAGUAAUACAACAGCUUCAAUCGAAGCAGUUGUUCUAGAUGAAGGUAAUUUUGUUUUGAGAGAUUCUUCAGCUAAUUCAACCUUAUGGCAAAGCUUUGAUCAUCCGACUCAUACAUGGCUUCCCGGAAUGAAGUUUGGAAUAAACAAACGGGCAAAAGUAAACCAAUUUCUCAUCUCAUGGAAGAAUAAAGAGGAUCCUGCACCGGGUCUCUUUUCGCUUGAGCUAGCCCCAGAUGGAUCGGAUCAAUAUGUUAUAAUGUGGAAUAGGUCUGAACAAUACUGGAAUAGUGGAGUCUGGACUGGAAUAAAUUUUGCCAAUGUUCCGGAAAUGAUAUCUCAUCAUAAUUUCGACUUCAACUACAUUUCGGAUGAAAAUGGGAGAUAUUUCGUUUAUUCUGUUACUAAUUCUAUGACAACUCGUUUUGUUAUUGAUUCUUCAGGGCAGAUUGAGCAGAUGUUUUGGUUGGAGUCUAGCAAGGCUUGGUUUCAGUUCUGGUCGCAACCAAGGCAACCUUGUGAUGUUUAUGCUUAUUGUGGCGCAUUUGGCAGCUGUAAUGAGGGAAACCAGUCUUUCUGUGCUUGUCUGCCAGGUUUUAGGCCAAAAUGGGAGAACAAUUGGAACUUGAUGCAGGAUUAUUCUUCUGGCUGUGUGAGGAAAACCCAACUGCAGUGUGAAAAUACUGUUGUUACAAAUGGAAAGAGUGACAAGUUUUUAGCAAAUUCUCACAUGGUAUUGCCUAAACAUCCACAAUCUGUGGCAGUUUUUGUGGAAGCAUGAAAUGAUCUAGCUGAUAUAUAACUCAUCCCUGGUAUCUUCACCCCACCAUAUGGUUGAGAGCAUACCCAAGUUGGCUGUCCAUGAGAAGAAAAAUCAGAAUAAGAAUGCAGGCAGGAUGCACCAUGGGUAAAACCAUGCUGGCUACUGCAAGUUUUCUGCGCCAUAUAAGGAUUCUUGUAACAUUUCAAUUCAAAUGGCACCUCUAAAACUUCUUUCUUACAUAAACAAGACUUGUUAUGAGGCCUCAAGAAAUUAUGCCCCUGACAUUCCAGUCCUUUCUUGCUUCUGCAAUAAUUUUGAGGGUUAAAGGAUCCCUUUGUUUUCAAUUUCUGUUCUUCAUAUUCAUCCAAUUCACAAGUGGCUACUUGACUUCAUUGGGACACAUGUCGAUCAAGUCUCCUAUUUAAUCUCUGAUGAGCAACCCAUCGAGAGGACUCAACCAACACCUUCUCUGCUGUACCGUACAUCCGCCUUGGCCGUGCUUGUCUGCCAGGUUUUAGGCCAAAAUGGGAGAACAAUUGGAACUUGAUGCAGGAUUAUUCUUCUGGCUGUGUGAGGAAAACCCAACUGCAGUGUGAAAAUACUGUUGUUACAAAUGGAAAGAGUGACAAGUUUUUAGCAAAUUCUCACAUGGUAUUGCCUAAACAUCCACAAUCUGUGGCAGGAGGGAGUAUCAAGGAAUGUGAAAAAACCUGCUCGAGGAACUGCUCUUGCACUGCUUAUGCUUAUGAAGACAAUGCUUGUUCAAUAUGGAUUGGAAGUCUCUUGAGUCUGCAUCAACUUUCACCAGGCGACGCAAAUGGGAAAACUAUUCAUGUCAAGCUUGCAGCUUCGGAGUUUUCAAGUUCCAGUAAUAACAAGGGAACAGUCAUUGGUGCUGUCGUGGGUUCAGUGUCAUUUGUAGCUCUAUUAGGCCUUCUUGCUUUUAUGUAUUUCAGGAAGAGAGAGAAUACAAUGAAAACAAGCAAAUCAGUGGAGGAUGGUUCGUUGGUGGCAUUUGCAUACAAGGAUUUGCUAACAGCCACAAAGAAUUUCUCUGAAAAAUUGGGGGGAGGAGGUUUUGGUUCUGUUUUCAAAGGGAGGCUGCCUAAUUCAAGUGUCAUAGCUGUGAAGAAGCUGCAGAGCUUCAGCCAAGGAGAGAAACAAUUCAGAGCAGAAGUCAGCACAAUAGGGAACAUCCAACAUGUCAAUCUAGUUAGGCUUCGUGGAUUCUGCUCUGAAGGUACAAAAAAAUUAUUGGUCUAUGAUUACAUGCCAAAUGGAUCCCUAGAUUCGCACAUCUUCCAUAGAGAGAAUUCAAAGGUUCUUGAUUGGGAAACAAGAUACCAAAUUGCACUAGGGACAGCCAGAGGAUUGGCUUAUCUCCACGAGAAGUGCAGAGACUGCAUCAUACACUGCGACAUAAAGCCAGAGAACAUUCUAUUAGAUGUUCAAUGGUGUCCAAAAGUGGCAGAUUUUGGCAUGUCAAAGCUUGUUGGGAGAGAAUUCAGCAGAGUCCUAACGACCAUUAGAGGAACAAGAGGGUAUCUCGCACCAGAAUGGCUUUCAGGAGUGGCCAUAACAGCAAAAGCUGAUGUUUACAGCUAUGGAAUGAUGCUCUUUGAAAUUGUUUCAGGAAGGAGAAACUUUGAAUGGAACUCUGUAUACUCUGAAGAUGAAGAAAUGAAAUACUUCCCAACUUGGGCAGCAAGCCUAAUGAGUGAAGGUGGCAAUGUGCUUAGCCUUUUAGACAAAAGACUUGAGGGUAGUGCUGAUGUAGAAGAGCUUUCAAGGAUUUGCAAAGUUGCUUGUUGGUGUAUCCAAGAUGAUGAAACUCAUAGGCCAUCAAUUGGUCAAGUGGUUCAAAUACUUGAGGGGGUUUUGGAAGUGACUCAGUCUCCAAUUCCAAGAUCCCUUAAAGUAAUCGCAGAUAACAAGGAGGAUAUAAUCUUCUUCACCGAGUCAUCUGAGACUUCAGGUGCUUCAUCUCAAGCUAAGUUCGCUGGAUCAUCAGCAAGUUCCUAAAUCCUUACCAAGAUAAUCAAUUUUAUUUGAGUAGUAUUUGUUAUUUCUGUUUUUUGGAUUUGGGUGGUGUUUUGUUAUUUCUGUUUGACUAUAGUCUUGAAUUUAUUGCCCUUAUUUGAGUACUAUUAUCCUAGAUAGUCUACUAUACAUAUAUGGUAUUAAUCUAUAUUAUUUUCAUAUGGUUUGAACUUCGUAUGUCGUAGCAUAAUGUUUAUCAAAAUCUCGUGUCUGCAAGUUGUUUAUUUUCUAGCUGUUAAUAAUGUCCACUCGAAUGAUAACAAUUUAUCUACCUGUUAAUAUAUGAUUUUAAUAUAUGUUUAUAUGCAGAACACAACAUAACAGAACCAACCAUUUGAAAUUUCAUUUCAGUUGGACGAGUAAUCUAAAGUCGAAUUUCACUGUCAUCAAUGGUGAAACAAAGAGUCCAGUUCAUACUUCAGAGUCGUUGCAAAUUAAUUAAAAUGACUAGAAGAUUGGAAUGAUUAGCGAAAUAGACAAACUGAAUUGAUAAGAUAAACAAAUAGAUAGAAUAAAACUAAAACUAUGUACUGAAAACAUCCGAAUUUGUUGCAGUGUAUUGCAGCACCAAUUUCAUUUGGGCCAAGAAUGUACAAAGAAGCAAAAUCUUGACGAGUUAUGUUCGAUAAAGUUCAAUGCAGUUAAAUGAAAAAACUGAAACUAACCCCUCUGUAUAUUCCAGUUUCUAUUCUGUUUCCAAUGCACCGCAAAAACUUAUACGCAGUAAUGAGACUGCAGUAGCACAUUACAAAAUGAUACAUCUGCAUGUCCCCUAUAAUAUCUGUUCAUGCUAAGUAACCCAAAUCUGCAAUGGUAAUUGGUUGAAGAAAAGAGGGUACUAAUCGUAUUAUAAUACUGAAUAUGGUCAGCUUAGUAUUAUUUAUGGGAACUGAAAAACUCAUAGUCUUUGUGUCGAUUGACUACCUUGAUGCCAUCCGUCCAAACACAACCUCUAGCAAAAAGAGACGCAUUUUCCUCUAGUAUUCUGAGCUGUUCCCGAAGAAUUUCAGAACGGUCAAAAAGUGAAGAGUCUUUGAAAGAGGAUUCUUCAGGUACUUUGAGAUCAAACCAGCUUUCUGCCUGCAGGUAUAAAGCUUGUGAAGUGCUGUACCACAGCUCUGAUCAAUAUCCAGAGAAGAAUUAUAGCUUAUCUCAAAAUGAGUGAAAUUAUUAAAAUAUAUAUAUGUAUAGCUCAUUUCUAUAAUCCAUUGGGUUCAUAGUCUUAGAUAUCCUGAUAAGAAUUCCAACCCACUGCUUCUACAUAUACCCAGACAUUGAACACAAUUUGGUUUAUUUAUUUCUUAACAACAUCAUGGUCGUGAUUCAAAGUUCAAAACAUGAAUUUCAAGGAUUAUGAUAUCUAUGUGGCACGUGUGUCAAGUUUAGUAAAACUUAAAUCUCCAUGGGAAUUCGAUGAAAAUCGACAAGCUCCUUCUUAGUCAUAGGUCCGGGCGGCAAAGCUUAUUCAGUUUUGACUUUGGAUACCUGACUGCCUGAACAAUUGAUUAAGGACGAACCUAUACUAUGCACGUCGGAUAGUAGCAGCAGAACCACUCAAAAUAGGCAGAAGAUUGCAAUCUAAACCAAUAUAUGACAAGGGUAGAACAUAUAGAGCUUAAACUUUACCUGUGCCUUGUAGCUUAGCAAUCCCACUACAGGGGAGACAACACAGAGUGUUUUCUUUUUGAGGGUAUCAGUUGGCACAUCUCUCAUAACCAUAUGUCCUAGCGAAUGAUAAGUCAAGAAAGCUGCACCAAAUUUCCCUUCGGGAAUUCGAAAUAUAGGAUACCAAGCCACUGAAAACCUAAAACCAAUUUAUUCAGGUUGUAAUAAGAAUGUCACAGAUUGGUUCCCCCCACCCCAAAAAAUAAGUAAAUAAAUGAAAGCACCAUGUGGUGACUGAUUCUCACCAGGAUGCAAGAUGUAGAUCAUUCAGCUUCAAAGAUUUCAACUUUGAUAUGUCACCAAAUACUUGAAGAUAAGAAGCUUCAGCAUCAAAAAGAUCCAGAAUUCUGCAAUUAGUAAUUAGUUAAGAUCAAUCCAGAUACAUCUUAACACCCCAUUUCAAAUAAAAAUGAUGAGGGUUUCAAUGAAUUGUAAACAGAAUGAGAAGAAAGAGUUCAACGAAAAAAAGCCUACAUGAUUAGCGGUGAUUGGAAAUGGAUAACUAUGAGUGAGUACGAAUUAAGAUAACAAGAUAAAAAGAAGACACAACUACAGCAGUGAGGACAAAACAUGUCAAACCUUCAACUAGGGCAAUGGUUGGGCACACCACACAAGAAAAGCUGAAACGGAACUACAAAUCAACCUUGUAGAAUCAUCAUUUUCAUGUACGACUUUUAUGAAUUCUGUAAAUAUGGCAAUGUAAGUUUUGAGGUAAGAAAGCAGAACUCUCAAUGCACAUGGUACAAUAACCUACAGCAAUAUCUUAAAUACUCCAAGAUGCAAUUUCUUCAAGUUAAUGAAUAAACUACAGAUUAAAUACCAUGUGAGAGAAAUAUGUCAGACUCAAGUUUAGAAAAAUAGUUCUAAUAGCAUCCACUAUAAAUAAUUGAUUGUAUAUCAACCUAGCAAUUUGAUUUAGCUACGGCCUGAUGAUUAUAAUUUUCAAUACAGCAAGCGAAAGAUAAAGGCUAGUGGCGAAAUUUACUUAUUAUGAAGAGGCCUUCGCAGCCAAGGUUUCUCAGUUUCAAAAAAUUCAAAUAAAAGUUCACAAUUACUGGAGCGAUCAGGUGAUGGAGUGAAACUCUGGGAGUGGCCUUCAGGACAGAAAGCUUUAUAUGAAUUGACACUCUCUUCAAUCGAGCCAAAUUUCAGCUCUGGGGCCAAAAGAUUUUUUCCCUCUAAUGCUGUUGAGCUAUUUCUGAUAUACAUGUCAGAGUUGGAGCGCUCUUCACUUGUACCACAAGAAUUAGAUAGAUAUGUGUAGCCAAACAAUUGAACAGCUGAAAGACAAGGAACAAAAUGAGCAUCAAACGAUGCUGAUUCAGUAAGCCGCCCUUUUAGUUUCUGAGAAUGACUUUUAGUCCAUAAUUCCCUGGCUCCUCGUACCAGUUCCAAACAGAAAAAAGUGAUGUAUUAGGUAUCUGGUGCUUACACAAGGAGCUAUCAGACAACUGAUCACCCAAACACAAAGAACAUUUUCCGUGUUGAUAUAAUGAGGCAAUAGCAGGAGCAGCGGAGUGGAGGAAUCUUUCGAACUCCGCAAGUGGACAUCCUGUUUCUAGCUCAAAACCCUCAGAUACUAGUUGCAUUUUGUAAGCAGCAUUUAGGGGAUCUGUUACCAUUAAGCCAACGAUAAGCUGUUGAACAUCUUUCAAAUUUUGCACAUAUUUCAUUCUAAUUUCAGCACUCUUGAUGUGAUGGACUUCUGUUGUGGUACACUGACUGUCAGAAUUUGGAGCUUCAGUUUCAACUAGAUUCAAACUGCUGCUACCAAUUAAGUGUGUACUUUUAAAUUUGCUUAACAUGGCAGAUGCACGAUGAUCAAUUACAUUUCCCCCCGAACGGCCAUCCUUCUCUACUUCAUGUAAAAGUCGCAAGUCGCCAUUACAAACAUGACAGAUACCGGCAGAACCAGUUUUUUCUGAAAUACUUGACCCCUUAGUGCCGACAGCAACCCACUUCUUUGCAUUCAUUCUAGAAGUAACAUCUUUUAUGAAUUGGUUUUCAUUAAAUUGUUCAAAUUUUACGCAUGAUUCACUUUUUGUGGAAGCAUGAAAUGAUCUAGCUGAUACGUAACUCAUCCCUGGUAUCUUCACCCCACCGUAUGGUUGAGAGCAUACCCAAGUUGGCUGUCCAUGAGAAGAAAAAUCAGAAUAAGAAUGCAGGCAGGAUGCACCAUGGGUAAAACCAUGCUGGCUACUGCAAGUUUUCUGCGCCAUAUAAGGAUUCUUGUAACAUUUCAAUUCAAAUGGCACCUCUAAAACUUCUUUCUUACAUAAACAAGACUUGUUAUGAGGCCUCAAGAAAUUAUGCCCCUGACAUUCCAGUCCUUUCUUGCUUCUGCAAUAAUUUUGAGGGUUAAAGGAUCCCUUUGUUUUCAAUUUCUGUUCUUCAUAUUCAUCCAAUUCACAAGUGGCUACUUGACUUCAUUGGGACACAUGUCGAUCAAGUCUCCUAUUUAAUCUCUGAUGAGCAACCCAUCGAGAGGACUCAACCAACACCUUCUGGUGGAUUCUCACAUCUGUUUUUGUCUUGUUAUUUCCUGCAUUUGCUACACCAAUGUGCCUAGAAGAUUCAAUUGUUGGAGUGGGCAGCAAUCCUUUACCAAAAAAUGAGUUGUGCUCGACAAAAAGGUUCUUCUGAAGCAUACUUGCAUCUCCCUGUAGAUAAUUGCGUUGCAAUUUGUUACCCUCACUGGUUUGUGUUUCCCUUACAUUCCUCUGCUUCUUCCGCCAGACUGAUUGGCUAUUUUCCUUCCCUGUCAUGAUAUGUUGGUGAUUUCUAGUCUUAUGGACAGCAUCAAGUUCAGAUGCCAAGUUGUGGCUCUUAAAUCCAUUUCUUUCUCUGAUAGCAUGAGAACUGUUACAGACAUCACACCCUUGCUUAUUCAAUCCAGAUACAUCUUAACACCCCAUUUCAAAUAAAAAUGAUGAGGGUUUCAAUGAAUUGUAAACAGAAUGAGAAGAAAGAGUUCAACGAAAAAAAGCCUACAUGAUUAGCGGUGAUUGGAAAUGGAUAACUAUGAGUGAGUACGAAUUAAGAUAACAAGAUAAAAAGAAGACACAACUACAGCAGUGAGGACAAAACAUGUCAAACCUUCAACUAGGGCAAUGGUUGGGCACACCACACAAGAAAAGCUGAAACGGAACUACAAAUCAACCUUGUAGAAUCAUCAUUUUCAUGUACGACUUUUAUGAAUUCUGUAAAUAUGGCAAUGUAAGUUUUGAGGUAAGAAAGCAGAACUCUCAAUGCACAUGGUACAAUAACCUACAGCAAUAUCUUAAAUACUCCAAGAUGCAAUUUCUUCAAGUUAAUGAAUAAACUACAGAUUAAAUACCAUGUGAGAGAAAUAUGUCAGACUCAAGUUUAGAAAAAUAGUUCUAAUAGCAUCCACUAUAAAUAAUUGAUUGUAUAUCAACCUAGCAAUUUGAUUUAGCUACGGCCUGAUGAUUAUAAUUUUCAAUACAGCAAGCGAAAGAUAAAGGCUAGUGGCGAAAUUUACUUAUUAUGAAGAGGCCUUCGCAGCCAAGGUUUCUCAGUUUCAAAAAAUUCAAAUAAAAGUUCACAAUUACUGGAGCGAUCAGGUGAUGGAGUGAAACUCUGGGAGUGGCCUUCAGGACAGAAAGCUUUAUAUGAAUUGACACUCUCUUCAAUCGAGCCAAAUUUCAGCUCUGGGGCCAAAAGAUUUUUUCCCUCUAAUGCUGUUGAGCUAUUUCUGAUAUACAUGUCAGAGUUGGAGCGCUCUUCACUUGUACCACAAGAAUUAGAUAGAUAUGUGUAGCCAAACAAUUGAACAGCUGAAAGACAAGGAACAAAAUGAGCAUCAAACGAUGCUGAUUCAGUAAGCCGCCCUUUUAGUUUCUGAGAAUGACUUUUAGUCCAUAAUUCCCUGGCUCCUCGUACCAGUUCCAAACAGAAAAAAGUGAUGUAUUAGGUAUCUGGUGCUUACACAAGGAGCUAUCAGACAACUGAUCACCCAAACACAAAGAACAUUUUCCGUGUUGAUAUAAUGAGGCAAUAGCAGGAGCAGCGGAGUGGAGGAAUCUUUCGAACUCCGCAAGUGGACAUCCUGUUUCUAGCUCAAAACCCUCAGAUACUAGUUGCAUUUUGUAAGCAGCAUUUAGGGGAUCUGUUACCAUUAAGCCAACGAUAAGCUGUUGAACAUCUUUCAAAUUUUGCACAUAUUUCAUUCUAAUUUCAGCACUCUUGAUGUGAUGGACUUCUGUUGUGGUACACUGACUGUCAGAAUUUGGAGCUUCAGUUUCAACUAGAUUCAAACUGCUGCUACCAAUUAAGUGUGUACUUUUAAAUUUGCUUAACAUGGCAGAUGCACGAUGAUCAAUUACAUUUCCCCCCAAAUGGCCAUCCUUCUCUACUUCAUGUAAAAGUGGCAAGUCGCCAUUACGAACAUGACAGAUACCAGCAGAACCAGUUUUUUCUGAAAUACUUGACCCCUUAGUGCCAACAGCAACCCGCUUCUUUGCAUUCAUUCUAGAAGUAACAUCUUUUAUGAAUUGGUUUUCAUUAAAUUGUUCAAAUUUUACGCAUGAUUCACUUUUUGUGGAAGCAUGAAAUGAUCUAGCUGAUACGUAACUCAUCCCUGGUAUCUUCACCCCACCGUAUGGUUGAGAGCAUACCCAAGUUGGCUGUCCAUGAGAAGAAAAAUCAGAAUAAGAAUGCAGGCAGGAUGCACCAUGGGUAAAACCAUGCUGGCUACUGCAAGUUUUCUGCGCCAUAUAAGGAUUCUUGUAACAUUUCAAUUCAAAUGGCACCUCUAAAACUUCUUUCUUACAUAAACAAGACUUGUUAUGAGGCCUCAAGAAAUUAUGCCCCUGACAUUCCAGUCCUUUCUUGCUUCUGCAAUAAUUUUGAGGGUUAAAGGAUCCCUUUGUUUUCAAUUUCUGUUCUUCAUAUUCAUCCAAUUCACAAGUGGCUACUUGACUUCAUUGGGACACAUGUCGAUCAAGUCUCCUAUUUAAUCUCUGAUGAGCAACCCAUCGAGAGGACUCAACCAACACCUUCUGGUGGAUUCUCACAUCUGUUUUUGUCUUGUUAUUUCCUGCAUUUGCUACACCAAUGUGCCUAGAAGAUUCAAUUGUUGGAGUGGGCAGCAAUCCUUUACCAAAAAAUGAGUUGUGCUCGACAAAAAGGUUCUUCUGAAGCAUACUUGCAUCUCCCUGUAGAUAAUUGCGUUGCAAUUUGUUACCCUCACUGGUUUGUGUUUCCCUUACAUUCCUCUGCUUCUUCCGCCAGACUGAUUGGCUAUUUUCCUUCCCUGUCAUGAUAUGUUGGUGAUUUCUAGUCUUAUGGACAGCAUCAAGUUCAGAUGCCAAGUUGUGGCUCUUAAAUCCAUUUCUUUCUCUGAUAGCAUGAGAACUGUUACAGACAUCACACCCUUGCUUAUUCUCAUCUGGAACUUUACAGCAAGUUCUACUAUUGCAGUUUUGAAUAUUCAGAUCUUCAGAACACAGUUUCACUUGUAUUUCACAUAGAGAAGUUGAAUUGACCAGUGGGGUAUCUUUUUCCAAGCCCUUUUCACAGUUUAUAGCAGGAUUGAGUAUAUCCUCCAUAAUUGAUGAAGAAGAUGACUUUGCAUCAAUAACAUCAUAUUUACUUUCUCCUGCCAUAGAAACAAUCUUAUCGGAGAUCUUUUUACUUGAAUAAGUUCUCUUUUGUUGUUCUUCUUUUUCUUUCUAAAAUGUUUCUUGAACUUCGGAUCAUCAGUAAUUGAAUCCACUUUGCUGUUUACCUGCUUAUCACUAAAACCAAGAGUAUCUGAUUGGAAAGAUCCAGCACAUCUUGACUUCUCAUUACACACAACAUCUGGUACAGCUAGAUCUCCGUACGGCUUCAAAGCCUCAGAGAUCCAGAUGUCACCAAGAACUGCACAACCUAAAGAGCUUGACGAACUACAGAUACCAUUUCCCCGUUCUAUAUGUUGAACUAAUGCCCCUGAAACUUCCAUCUCUAGAACAUUUAUCAAUUUAAAGAUUUUCAGUCCUUAUCUAAAUCAACACCAGAAAACAAAGCCUGCAAUGGGAAAUGAACAAGUUAAAGAAAAGAGGCACGAUCAAGUUCAAAAUGAAAUCAAAUCCUACUAGAGACAGAUAACAUGUUAACAAUAAAGUCAACAGAAUUUGAAUGAAACAAGAAUCCACUCCAGCCUGUCAAAUAUUAAAGCAACAGAAAAGCAAAGAACCAAAAGAGCAUCUCAUUUAUCAUAUGAACCAAAGAUUGGAUAAAGUUAGUAAAAAUAAUUGGAAUAAAAUGAUAUGAACAAGCACUCAAACCAAAUAUACUCAUAUGACCCUAAAAUUUGCAUUUUAGUUAAUAAGAUACUAAAAUGAAUUUAACUAACUACCUAACAGUACAAGCACACAUCUCAUGAAACAAACCAAUUUAUCAGGGCAUUUGCGUACAUACAAAAGUCCAAAUAUCUCUUUAAAUCAAACCCACCUAAUUUUUACCAACAAAAGUUAUUUUUCUUGACCUAAUAUAACUCAAGGGUAAAACUAAAUAUGACCCCAAGAAAUAACCCAAACCAUGUAAUUUAUUCAAAUGCACGUUUUCAAGUACUUCUCAGACAGUUAUUUAAUUCAUCUGCUACCCAGAAAAAAAAAAUGAAAGUAGAAAAAAAGAACAAGAACAAGAAAAAGAAUGCCACUUUACCAAGUGCAGGUGAUGGGUUCUUGUGACUGCUCAAAGAACCCAGAAAAUAUAAUUAAAAGGAAAUAUCCAUGUUCCUUUAACCAAAUUAAGAAACAUACAAAGAAAACGACAAUUUUUGAAACAAGAAACGUGAAUAAUACUGAUCAAAUUAUGACACCCGUAUUGAAUUUAGAUCAAACAAAAAGAUUAAACAGAAAAAAAAAGGAAAAGAUAAAAGAAAAAGAAAGUACCUGAGAGACAAAAUGAGAAGCGCGCCAGAAGCCAAAAUAUGAAAAAUGGGUUUUUGGGGUUGACUUUUGAGUCUGUUUCAAUUUUUAUUUAACGGAUUUCUUGAAAUUGCUAGGAAAUAUUCUCUUUUUUAGAGUGUGGAGUAGGCAUAUCACAGUUGAUGAGGUCGAAUCUCUCUCUAUGGGCGCCAUGUGUCUAAUACGUAUGAUGAUAACACAAGCAAAAUACCAUAAUGGAUGGAUUAUGGGCAGCCCGCGGAAUUGUCUGUUUUACCCCGCUAUUGUAACCAUCCAGGAGGAUCCGUUUUAAUAUGUUUUUUUGCUACACUUUAAAUAUUCCAAUAAAUUAAUUAAUUCAUGUUUAUAAACAGUGUUAUGGAAAAUAAGGGAGAUGGUGAAUAAAUAAUAUUAUAAGUUUUUUAAAAAGUUACAUAAAUAAAAUUAAUAGUUUUUUAAAUAAAAAAUUAUUUCUAAAGAAACAUGAAUUACUGCCAAGUAGCAUGUGAAUAAACAUUUAAUUAUUCAAAAAAGAAUGAUUAUGUACUCUUUGAUGUAUGUUACGACGUUAAUUGGUGAGAAUGAAAUAUUGUACAAUAAAUUAUCUUAGAAAUUUAUUAAAGUAUACUAUGUACCAAUGAAUGUUAUUUUUUCCAAUGAAAAUUUUGGGAUGAUAAAUUGAUAAUAUUAGGGAUAGGACUAUUUGAGCUCUAAAAAUUAUUUUAAAUACUCUAUUAUUCUAUAGAUUUGUGUACUAUGAACUCUCGACUUUCUUCCAAUAGUUAGUAGUGUGAAAGUGGUGUAAUGAGGGAGUGAUGUGGUGUCUUAAUUACUCUCCCGUUUAGCUCUUUGUUAAUGUUUUUUAGGUCUGCUGUUUUAAAUUUGUGAAGUUUUUUAUAUUGUCGCUAUUUUCCAUUAUUGUUAUUGGUGGUCUAUAUGAUGGAUACGAUGGAAUUAGCGAAACUUUGUGGCUCUUUAACUUUGCGUGACAAAGCAAGUACGAUUUUGUCUCAGAUGCUGUCCAAAAGCGAAGGGAGGCAAUGGCAGUGAAUUACUUGAUUAGUAAGAUAUUAACGAAGCAGGUGAUUUCCAAAGAUGCCUUCACUAAGAAUUUUCCAGUGAUUUGAAGAACAUUCAGGGAGUUAAGAUCAAAUGUUUAGAGAAGAAUGUAUUCUUGUUCUGUUUUAGCUGACGAGUUCUUUUGUUGGCCCAUGGCAUUUUGAUAGGACAUUGGUUGUUCUCACUCCAUUGCAAGGUAAUGGUGAUUUGACUGUGGAAUGUUCUGACAAAGUGAUAUUUUGGGUGUAAAUUUAUAACGUGCCCUUAUUGUAUAUAUUAAAAGAGAUAACUGAACUUCAACUGAGUAUACAUGGAACGAUGGAGAAAAUAAAUAUGAGAUCAUCUGGUGAUUGUAUGAGAAAGUAUCUGAAAGUCUAUGUUACUUUUGAUAUUGUGUUACCUUUGAUAUUUCUUAUUCGUUAAAACGGAAUUUACGUGUGAAAUUCCAUUCAUUGGAUCUUAAAUGUGUGUUUGGUACAAUAUGAGAAGUAGUUAAAUUUUUAUUUUCACUGUGAUAGGAUAAGACAUAUAUUUCAUAAGUGUGAGGUGCAUGAGUUAGCAUGGGCAGAGGAUGGCUCCCACACCACUCUUCUGUUUGGGAAUUGGAUGAGAAUGACUGUUGGUGCUUUCGUCAAACGGCUAAAAAAUCCACUAAUGGUCAAGGCUAAUACAAAGAGUGGCAGUGAGGAGUUGAAUGCAUCGUUGAUGACACCAAAUAAGCCGGAUACAGUUAUUAAUGGUGUGAAAAUUUUGGAUGAAUUUCAAAAUGUGAGUGAUUUAAAUUUUGAAAGCGCUAAUGUUGCAGACAAGGGAGCUUUUCCUUAGCUUAUGAUCUUUGGUUUCUAUAUGGCUUCUUGGCUGCUUAACUUCUUUACGGCUUCUAGGCCGCUUGACCUCUUUACGGCUCCUAAGUGUUCGACUUCUUUAUGGUUUCUUGGUUGCUUUACUUCUUUAUGCUCUGCUUCCUUGAUGCCUCUAUGUUUCUUUUUCCCUUUCUUUUCCUUCUCGUCUGCGCCUCCAUUUCGUUCCUACAUAUUUUGACAGCACAGAAUUUUUGGUUGUUGCAGCGGCCAUGGAAAUCAUCAAGAACAAUUCAUGGUUGAUGCUUUUUGUUCUUUUCACGUGCUUCUCACUCAAAUCCCAUGUCUCCUUCGGAGCUGACACCAUUUCUGCAAACCAAUCUCUCUCUGGUGAUCAAACGAUCGUUUCUAAAGGUGGGGUCUUUGCAUUUGGUUUCUUCAACCCAGCUCCUGGUAAGUCUUCAAACUAUUACAUAGGCAUGUGGUACAAUAAAGUCUCUGAAAGAACUAUAGUUUGGGUAGCCAACAGAGAACAGCCAGUUUCUGAUAGAUUCUCUUCGGUUUUAAGAAUCUCAGAUGGUAACUUAAUUCUUUUUAAUGAGUCCCAACAACCCAUUUGGUCCACAAUUUUGACCGCUACCAGCAGACGUUCUGUGGUAGCAGUUCUUUUAGAUGAAGGAAAUCUUGUUUUGAGAGAUUUGUCAAAUAAUUUGUCGGAGCCGUUAUGGCGAAGUUUUGAUCAUCCAGCUCAUACUCGGAUUCCCGGUAUGAAGCUGACGUUCAACAAGAGAAACAACGUCAGUCAACUUCUCACUUCAUGGAAGAAUAAAGAAAAUUCUGCACCGGGUCUCUUCUCCCUUGAGCUAGCACCAGAUGCAUCAAAUCAAAAUGCUAUUUUGUGGAAUAGGUCUGAGCAGUACUGGAGAAGUGGACCUUGGGAUGAUAAUGCAAAAAUUUUCAGCUUGGUCCCUGAAAUGACACUAAAUUAUAUCUACAAUUUCAGCUAUGUGUCGAAUGAAAACGAGAGCUAUUUCACCAACAAUGUGAAAGAUAGCACUUACACAUCUCGAUUCAUUAUGGAUGUUUCAGGACAGGUUAAGCAGAUGAAUUGGUUGCCUACCAACUCUUGGUUUCUGUUUUGGUCCCAACCAAGACAGCAAUGCAAGGGUUAUGCUUUUUGUGGUCAAUUUAGCACCUGCAAUGAGCAAACUGAGCGUUUUUGUUCUUGUUUGAAAGGUUUUCAACAAAAAUCGGUGAGUGACUGGAAUUUGGAAGAUUAUUCUGGUGCCCGCUGCAGUGUGAAAAUAAUAGUCUUGCCAAUGGAAAAAGCGACCAAUUUUUCCAGUACAGUAACAUGAAAUUGCCUAAACAUCCACAAUCUGUGGCAGUAGGGGGUAUCAGGGAAUGUGAAACACACUGCUUGAAUAACUGCUCUUGCACUGCUUAUGCUUACAAAGACAACGCUUGCUCGAUUUGGGUAGGAAGUUUCGUGGGUCUGCAACAGCUACAAGGAGGUGGAGAUACCAUUUAUAUCAAGCUUGCAGCUUCUGAGUUCUCGAGUCCCAAGAAUAAACAGGGAGUAUUCAUUGGCAGUGUUGUGGGCACAGUGGCUGUCGUAGCUCUUAUUGGCCUGAUCAUGCUUGUAUACUUGAGAAGGAGAAAGACAGCAACUGUAACAACCAAAACUGUGGAGGGUUCUUUGGUGGCAUUUGCAUGCAAGGAUUUGCAAACUGCCACAAAGAAUUUCUCUGAAAAGCUGGAGGGAGGAGGUUUUGGUUCAGUUUUCAAAGGGGUGUUGCCGAAUUCAAGUCUCAUAGCUGUGAAGAAGCUUGAAAGCUGGAGCCAAGGAGAGAAGCAAUUUCGGACUGAAGUCAGUACCAUAGGGAAUAUCCAACAUGUCAAUCUGGUUCGGCUUCUGGGUUUCUGCUCUGAACUAGUAGGUUGUUGGUCUACGAUUUCAUGCCAAACGGUUCUUUAGACUCUCAUCUCUUCACUGAAAAAGAUUCAGACUUUCAUGAUUGGAAGACAAGAUACCAAAAUUCAAUGGGGACAGCCAGAGGUUUGGCUUAUCUCCAUGAGAAGUGCAGAGACUGCAUCAUACACUGUGACAUAAAGCCAGAGAACAUUCUGUUAGAUGCUGAAUUUUGUCCCAAAGUGUCGGAUUUUGGGCUCGCAAAGCUUGUUGGGAGGGAGUUCAGCCGUGUCCUAACAACCAUGAGAGGAACAAGAGGUUACCUUGCACCUGAAUGGAUUUCAGGAGUGGCCAUAACAGCCAAAGCGGAUGUCUACAGCUACGGAAUGUUGCUGUUUGAAUUUGUAUCAGGAAGGAGGAGCUCGGAGGAAUCUGAAGAUGGUAAAGUGAAGUUCUUCCCAUCUUGGGCUGCUAAACGAAUAGUUGAAGGCAGCAAUCUCGUUAGC
rnacentral:lncRNA from 1 species